rnacentral:tRNA from 1 species
GGUUCCGUAGUGUAGUGGUUAUCACGUCUGCUUUACACGCAGAAGGUCCUGGGUUCGAGCCCCGGCGGAACCA